CCCUUAGAUGUUCUGGGCAGCACGCGCGCUACAAUGGUCUUCGCAAACGGAUGCAUUCUCGAAGGAGAAUGCCAAUCUUGGAAUCUAUGCCUUGGUCGGGACAGUUGCUUGCAAGUUUUCGACUCGAACCAGGAAUUCCUUGUAAUCGUGAUUCAUCACAUCACGAUGAAUACGUCCCUGCCCUUUGUACACACCGCCCGUCGCUCCUACCGAUCGAAGAGUUAGGUGAAUUGUUUUGAUCGAUAAGAUUUGACUAUGGUCAACUCUCGUUGUGAAAUUCUGUGAAUCUGACUGUUUAGAGGAAGGAAAAGUCGUAACA
rnacentral:rRNA from 1 species